rnacentral:rRNA from 1 species
UCGGGAAUCUUCCGCAAUGGACGCAAGUCUGACGGAGCAACGCCGCGUGAGUGAAGAAGGAUUUCGGUUCGUAAAACUCUGUUGUUAGAGAAGAACAGCGCAUAGAGUAACUGUUAUGCGUGUGACGGUAUCUAACCAGAAAGCCACGGCUAACUACGUGCCAGCAGCCGCGGUAAUACGUAGGUGGCAAGCGUUGUCCGGAUUUAUUGGGCGUAAAGCGAGCGCAGGCGGUCAAUUAAGUCUGAUGUGAAAGCCCCCGGCUCAACCGGGGAGGGUCAUUGGAAACUGGUUGACUUGAGUGCAGAAGAGGAGAGUGGAAUUCCAUGUGUAGCGGUGAAAUGCGUAGAUAUAUGGAGGAACACCAGUGGCGAAGGCGACUCUCUGGUCUGUAACUGACGCUGAGGCUCGAAAGCGUGGGUAGCAAACAGG